GAUGAACGCUGGCGGCGUGCCUAAUACAUGCAAGUCGAGCGAACAGACGAGGAGCUUGCUCCUCUGACGUUAGCGGCGGACGGGUGAGUAACACGUGGAUAACCUACCUAUAAGACUGGGAUAACUUCGGGAAACCGGAGCUAAUACCGGAUAAUAUAUUGAACCGCAUGGUUCAAUAGUGAAAGACGGUUUUGCUGUCACUUAUAGAUGGAUCCGCGCCGCAUUAGCUAGUUGGUAAGGUAACGGCUUACCAAGGCAACGAUGCGUAGCCGACCUGAGAGGGUGAUCGGCCACACUGGAACUGAGCCACGGUCCAGACUCCUACGGGAGGCAGCAGUAGGGAAUCUUCCGCAAAGGGCGAAAGCUUGACGGAGCAACGCCGCGUGAGUGAUGAAGGUCUUCGGAUCGUAAAACUCUGUUAUUAGGGAAGAACAAAUGUGUAAGUAACUAUGCACGUCUUGACGGUACCUAAUCAGAAAGCCACGGCUAACUACGUG
rnacentral:rRNA from 1 species